CACGUAGGGGGCGAGCGUUGUCCGGAAUCAUUGGGCGUAAAGAGCUCGUAGGCGGCUCGGUAAGUCGGGUGUGAAACCCCCAGGCUCAACCUGGGGACGCCACCCGAUACUGCUGUGGCUAGAGUCCAGUAGGGGAGUGUGGAAUUCCCGGUGUAGCGGUGAAAUGCGCAGAUAUCGGGAGGAACACCAGCGGCGAAGGCGGCAUCCUGGACCAACACUGACACUGAGGAGCGAAAGCCAGGGGAGCAAACGGG
rnacentral:rRNA from 1 species